rnacentral:rRNA from 1 species
AGAGUUUGAUCCUGGCUCAGGAUGAACGCUAGCUACAGGCUUAACACAUGCAAGUCGAGGGGAAACGAUAGAGAAAGCUUGCUUUUUCUAGGCGUCGACCGGCGCACGGGUGAGUAACGCGUAUCCAACCUGCCCACCACUUGGGGAUAACCUUGCGAAAGUAAGACUAAUACCCAAUGAUAUCUCAAGAAGACAUCUGAAUGAGAUUAAAGAUUCAUCGGUGAUGGAUGGGGAUGCGUCUGAUUAGCUUGUUGGCGGGGUAACGGCCCACCAAGGCUACGAUCAGUAGGGGUUCUGAGAGGAAGGUCCCCCACAUUGGAACUGAGACACGGUCCAAACUCCUACGGGAGGCAGCAGUGAGGAAUAUUGGUCAAUGGGCGAGAGCCUGAACCAGCCAAGUAGCGUGCAGGAUGACGGCCCUAUGGGUUGUAAACUGCUUUUAUAAGGGAAUAAAGUGAGUCUCGUGAGACUUUUUGCAUGUACCUUAUGAAUAAGGACCGGCUAAUUCCGUGCCAGCAGCCGUGGUAAUACGGAAGGUCCGGGCGUUAUCCGGAUUUAUUGGGUUUAAAGGGAGCGUAGGCCGGAGAUUAAGCGUGUUGUGAAAUGUGGAUGCUCAACAUCUGCACUGCAGCGCGAACUGGUUUCCUUGAGUACGCACAAAGUGGGCGGAAUUCGUGGUGUAGCGGUGAAAUGCUUAGAUAUCACGAAGAACUCCGAUUGCGAAGGCAGCUCACUGGAGCGCAACUGACGCUGAAGCUCGAAAGUGCGGGUAUCGAACAGGAUUAGAUACCCUGGUAGUCCGCACGGUAAACGAUGGAUGCCCGCUGUUGGUCUGAAUAGGUCAGCGGCCAAGCGAAAGCAUUAAGCAUCCCACCUGGGGAGUACGCCGGCAACGGUGAAAC